GGACCGAACCACCACGGUGUUGUUUGCGGUUUUAAUUCUUCCCGUGGGAUCAUGAGGAACUGAAGCUGGCGGAGUCCCAGGAAUACGCCCGCUCCCCCGAAGUAGGAGGGAAUGUCAAGGGCAUGGUGAGGGAUCGACGGAGCAGAGCCUGCAGCGAACUCCCUGCUGCCGUGGAAGCACAACCCCUGAACCCCUGCAGCCCCAGGGUUGGACUGUGUGCAGCCCCAUCUGCCUGGGGGUUGCAGGUCUGCAGAGGACCCCCUCAAGAGGCCAUUUCUCUACUCAUGGGUGCCCACUGCGUAUGCCUCGCACAUCUACAGAAUUUGCAGGGACAUCUGUGAAGGCUGACUCCCUGGAGGAAGAAAAGGAGGAGGAAGGAGGAAACAGAGGGAGAGGGGACGAUGAAUCCAGGACUGUCAGGAGAAGAGGGAAGAAAAUCUGUCAUUUGCUGAGCGCCUACUAUGUGCCAGACACUUAACACAAGAGAUGUCAUUUACUCGUCAUCACCACCCCAGGAGAAUUGAGUGUUCUCAGCCCUCAGUUUAAAGGAGAAGAUCAAGCCCAGAGAGGCUUUCCUGCCCUGUCACCGCCAUGGGUCAAUCUGCAGUGACAAAAUACAAGAAGGAAAUGGACAAGUCUUGACAAACUCCCCAUAAGGCCCAUCAGCAGCCAGUGAACCACUGCGUUUGGAGACAGGUGGCCCCGAGGAGGUCCCGGCCCUGGGCCUUUCCCCUGUAACACCGAACAAGCUUCUCGGCCUUUCAGAGACUCCUCGGUAAGGAUGGUGAUAUAAAUCGGGCUCUUGCCAUGGGUCAGGCACUGUGCCAACAGCUCUACCAGCCGAGCUCAUCCUUGUUUCCUCACCUGCAGGAUGGGGAUGAGAAAACUGUCUGCCCUGGGGACUUGCACGGUGAUCCCCAUUAAUAGCUGGGGUGAGGUUGACUCUAUUUGUACAGCGCCGUGCUAAUGCUGUUAUUCUGCUCUGAAGGGCAAUGCUUGUUGAGAUCUACAAUUUUUAGAUGUGUUAAAGAAAAAAAACCGCCACAGGCAUGUUAUUUAUAGUCAGCUCCGUACAGGUUUUUAUCAUUCUUCGCCUGCUCUGCUAAAAAUAACAAAUGACAAAGGUCACAUCUGCUCCCACCUAUGGGAGGAAUCUACAAAGAAUGAGGCUUUCGAUUCACUGCCUGGGUGAAGUGAGAAUUCCGCUGCUGCA